rnacentral:rRNA from 1 species
GAUAAACGCUGGCGGCGUGCCUAACACAUGCAAGUCGAACGUCCUCUCUCGCAAGAGAGAGGGAGUGGCGGACGGGUGAGUAACACAUGGGUCACCUACCCUUAAGUGAGGAAUACCGGCGAGAAAUCGCCGACAAGACCGCAUAGGCUCUCUCUUUUGCAAGAGAGAGCAAAGCUUCGCAAGAGGCGCUUGAGGAUGGGCCUGUGGCCGAUUAGCUGGUUGGAGGGUA